rnacentral:rRNA from 1 species
AUUGAACGCUGGCGGCAUGCCUUACACAUGCAAGUCGAACGCGAAAGGGGGCAACCCUGAGUAGAGUGGCGAACGGGUGAGUAAUGCAUCGGAACGUGUCCUGUAGCGGGGGACAACCCCGAGAAAUCGGGGCUAAUACCGCAUACGUCCUACGGGAGAAAGUGGGGACCGCAAGGCCUCACACUAUAGGGGCGGCCGAUGCCGGAUUAGCUAGUUGGUGGGGUAAGAGCCCACCAAGGCGACGAUCCGUAGCUGGUCUGAGAGGAUGAUCAGCCACACUGGGACUGAGACACGGCCCAGACGCAUACGGGAGGCAGCAGUGGGGAAUUUUGGACAAUGGGCGCAAGCCUGAUCCAGCCAUGCCGAGUGAGUGAAGAAGGCCUUCGGGUUGUAAAGCUCUUUCGGCCGGGACGAAAUCGCUCUCGCUAAUAUCGGGAGUGGAUGACGGUACCGGAAUAAGAAGCACCGGCUAACUACGUGCCAGCCGCCGCAGUAA